AUGCCAAGGCGGCGCAUCAUACAUAUUCUAUUUCGCAUCGCUUUGUGCUUCGUAUUUGAGUCUCAGUGCUGAAAAGAAUUUCAAUGAUCUUUCGGGACCACAGUCCGAACGAAGCCCAAGGUGCACAACAAGUGCGACAUCUUCUUGCUGCUACAUGUGGAUCGCUGGUUCCCUUCCUGGACUUGUAUACAAAAAAAUUGGACUGUUAGUUGUUUUUCAUCAUAUUUUUUUAUGGGUUGGCGAUGUGCACUAGAAAUUCAUGAACUGACCAUAACAAGUGAUAUGGAAAUGUAAUGGAUAGUAAUGAAAAACAUUUAACAGUUGACUUCUGAAACUAGCAAGUUUUAUAACGCUCCAGGGCAAUGAGUUAUGCAGUCACUGUUAUAUUUACAGUGUUGGUUCUAAAUUGCUUGGGCUAUAUCUCAACAGAAGAGACUUCACUUAUGAGAUCAAAAUCUACAGGUACUCAUUACAAGCUGCAUACAUUGCAUUCUCUGGCCAGCCAGUACCUGAAACAUGCUUCAAAAUUCAGCACAACUGUAGACUUUACUGUCCCACUUUUCUCAUUUAAGUUUCCUCUUGGUGAUCAAAACAGUAGUACAGCUAUCAUUCAGCAAAAUUUGAUUGGGCAAUUGAUUUAUUUUUUUAUUACUGCAAUUUCAUUUAUUGCAUCAAUUUCUGUACCCUAUGUUAUUAACAAAGUGAAACAAAAUGAAGAUACACCAAAAUUACAACUAGAAAUAGAUUACUGUAAUAAAAAGUAUCAUAACCACUAUCUGUGGCAAUUAUUAUGUGAAAUCAAUGAAAAUGUGGUAAAGCACAACAGAAUUCCAACAGCAUGGCCAGAAACCUAAACACAAACAGAGUACACUUUCAGAAUCUAACUGUGCUGAUUUUGAAUUUGUGGUACUUUAAUGAAAAAGGAGGUUACUGAUGAUUUAUAGCUGCAUUUCUGAAAUAAUGAAAUGAACCAGUUCUUGAAUAGUAUAUCUGUGGCUUUGACAUUGGAAUUGGUGACCCCUUUUAAAAAUUGUACAUAUUGUAUUGUAUCAGUAAAAUAAUUGCCUUAAAACAUGCAGUAAAUUUGUUUGCAACCUGUUUUCAAGUGCAUGUAUACUAAAGCCACAGAAAAAAACCUGUAUGUAUAAAUUAAGAAAUUACCCUGUAUAUUCUCGAAUUAUUUGCUACAGAUAUGACUGACAUGUUAAAGUGCUCUGAACGAUGUUCUAUCAUGGGAAAAAGAAUUGGUUUUAAUUGAGAAAUAGCUGACUCUAUUAUUUUCAAUUGUUUAUAAAGGGGACACUUAAAUUUUAAUGAUAUCAUCAUAAAUAAAAAUUGUGGGCAUUUCUAAGAAAACUUUGACUAUUUACAGUCAGUAAGUUUUCUUUUAUGAAGUUAAAACAUUCCAGGAAUGCAAGAAGAAAAUUUCUCAACCCGGCACAGACAUGGCUCUGAUAUCAAUUAAAAUUUCUUUAUGUUAUUUUGUUACAUGUUGCUCAAUAUUUUAAAUCUGUGGUAAAGAUUUUUACUAUAGUGCUUUAAGUAGUUGAGUUGUGUGUGAUUAAACAUGUAUACUGUUAUGUCUUUAAAACAAAUUUCAUUUUUGGAAAGUGUAUCACAAAAGUAAAUUCAUCCAGAAUUGGUGAAAAUUUAGGAGGCUGGUUCUUAAUUUUCAACAGUUGAGAAAUGAGGAGCUGAAUCUGAAUGUAGUCUACUUCUCCUGAGGAUUGUCAAUUACAGAUACAUGAAAUAGUUCAUGUCAUAGACAUUACAGAAUAGAUAUUACAGAAGGAAGAAUGUGGCAGGUUUUACUUGAUAAAUUAUCCACAUUACAUAAGAUACGGGCUGCAUUUGUAGAAUGCUGACAAAAAGAAAUUGGGAAAGUGAAUUUUUUAGUGACUGGGUUCGUCCCCUAAUUUGUUAUCAUGGAUGGAUAUAGAUCCUCCUCUACUUCAUGUGAAAAGUGAAGUAGUAUCAAUUGCAUCAUGAACUAAAAACACGCAAAAUGAAAACUAUGCAGCAAACAUUUACAGACAUAGUUUUCUAGAUUACAAAAGAGAUUCCUUUCAUUGAACACCCUAAAAAUUAUAAAACAAACACUGGCAGACAAUAUAAAAGUAUUCUGAGUCAACAGUAAGUAAAUAUGUAAGAAGAGUCCUAUACUGAAAUAGAAGGAAAAAAUGUUUAAUGAAAGUCAUUUUUGUAUAUCACCAUGAGAUUCUAAUAAGCAAAUUUUUAUUAGCUUUUAGUUUCUAUCUGUUUGAUCAUCAUCUGGUAAAAUAAAAGUAUAAAACAUGAAACAAAUCUGAAAAUCUCACAAAUGGUCUCAGAAAAUAAACAAAACAAGAUUUACAAACACAAUACCUACUGUGGCCUGCAAAGUAAUCACCAUCAGCUACAACACAUUUCUGGCAUUGGUUGUAAAGCUGUUUGAAACUGUCAACAAAUGGCAUCUUGCAGAAUUGCUCGAAGCAUCAUGGUCACGUUCUGUUAGACUGUUCACUAACACUUUCUUUAUCCUCUAUAUUUGAUGCCAGUAGACUUCUGUUUGCUUCUCUACCUUAAACUAGCCCUGAAACCCUUAUGCUCUUGUGCAAUGUCUCUAAAGCAUAAACCUUUCAGGGCUAAUUUUAGUCGGGAAAACAAAAAGAAGUCUGCUGGUGCCAAAUGGAGAAUAAGGAGAGUGUUGAAAAAUAGUUACCUUCCAUGGGUGACAUAGGUAAGCAUGCAGAUAGCUAACAAUUGGUAA